UACGGGGGGGGCAAGCGUUGUUCGGAAUUACUGGGCGUAAAGGGCUCGUAGGUGGCCAACUAAGUCAGACGUGAAAUCCCUCGGCUUAACCGGGGAACUGCGUCUGAUACUGGAUGGCUUGAGUUUGGGAGAGGGAUGCGGAAUUCCAGGUGUAGCGGUGAAAUGCGUAGAUAUCUGGAGGAGCACCGGUGGCGAAGGCGGCAUCCUGGACCAACACUGACACUGAGGAGCGAAAGCCAGGGGAGCAAACGGG
rnacentral:rRNA from 1 species